rnacentral:rRNA from 1 species
GGGUAACCUGCCUUAUACGAGGGGGAUAACAGGUUGGAAACGACUGCUAAUACCGCAUAAGCGCACGGUAUCGCAUGAUACAGUGUAGAAAACUCCGGUGGUAUAAGAUGGACCCGCGUCUGAUUAGCUUGUUGGUGGUGUAAUGGACUACCAAGGCGACGAUCAGUAGCUGGUUUGAGAGGAUGAUCAGCCACAAUGGGACUGAGACACGGCCCAUACUCCUACGGGGAGGCAGCAGGUGGGGAAUAUUGCACAAUGGGGGAAACCCUGAUGCAGCGACGCCGCGUGAGCGAAGAAGUAUUUCGGUAUGUAAAGCUCUAUCAGCAGGGAAGAAAAUGACGGUACCUGACUAAGAAGCCCCGGCUAACUGCGUG